GGAUGAACGCUGGCGGCGUGCCUAACACAUGCAAGUCGAGCGAUUCUCUUCGGAGAAGAGCGGCGGACGGGUGAGUAACGCGUGGGUAACCUGCCCUGUACACACGGAUAACAUACCGAAAGGUAUGCUAAUACGAGAUAAUAUGCUUUUAUCGCAUGGUAGAAGUAUCAAAGCUUUUGCGGUACAGGAUGGACCCGCGUCUGAUUAGCUAGUUGGUAAGGUAACAGCUUACCAAGGCGACGAUCAGUAGCCGACCUGAGAGGGUGAUCGGCCACAUUGGAACUGAGACACGGUCCAAACUCCUACGGGAGGCAGCAGUGGGGAAUAUUGCACAAUGGGCGAAAGCCUGAUGCAGCAACGCCGUGUGAGCGAUGAAGGCCUUCGGGUCGUAAAGCUCUGUCCUCAAGGAAGAUAAUGACGGUACUUGAGGAGGAAGCCCCGGCUAACUACGUGCCAGCAGCCGCGGUAAUACGUAGGGGGCUAGCGUUAUCCGGAAUUACUGGGCGUAAAGGGUGCGUAGGUGGUUUCUUAAGUCAGAGGUGAAAGGCUACGGCUCAACCGUAGUAAGCCUUUGAAACUGGGAAACUUGAGUGCAGGAGAGGAGAGUGGAAUUCCUAGUGUAGCGGUGAAAUGCGUAGAUAUUAGGAGGAACACCAGUUGCGAAGGCGGCUCUCUGGACUGUAACUGACACUGAGGCACGAAAGCGUGGGGAGCAAACAGGAUUAGAUACCCUGGUAGUCCACGCUGUAAACGAUGAGUACUAGCUGUCGGAGGUUACCCCCUUCGGUGGCGCAGCUAACGCAUUAAGUACUCCGCCUGGGAAGUACGCUCGCAAGAGUGAAACUCAAAGGAAUUGACG
rnacentral:rRNA from 1 species